UCACAAGCAGAAAGGUUCUCAAAUCUCAUAUGGAGAUUAUUCUUAAAGCUCACAGCCAACGGUAAACAAUAACAUCGUCCAAAAUUCCAUACAUCGUCAUGGCAAAGGAAUCGAAGCGUAAGCAUAAAGAUCAAGAAUCACCUGGCGAAGAUGACAACGAAGGUGGCGACGAUGAUGACGAUCACGAGCGCAGCUUCCAAACGCCUUUCUUCCUCUUCUCGCACUGUUUCUGGUUGUUUUCAAUCCACUUCUUCUUGCGAUUCUGGUUUGGAUCCGUUACGGUGAUGGCUGAGAGAUGAAGCUUGAUGCGUAGAUGAUGAUUGAAAUGGAGCGACGCGUCACCGAACGGAAGCGCUUCAAUUCUGAGAAGGUUGGUACAGUGAAUGUGGUUGAAGAAUCGAGGUGGAAGAGGAGGUUGAAGUGGUGGCUUAGCUCUGCCGUGUGGAGCUUCGAAUGAUGAAGCUCCCACAACAAUGGAGGAUGAGCGUGUACUGAAGGUGAGGAUUGAGUGCAGAAGCUUCUGGGAAUCAGGGAAAAAUCGUUCGAACCCAAUGAUUGGCAAUGAUUGCCUCUUAUAUAGGCGUGAUCCAAGGGGCAAAUUGGAGAAUUGGAUUUGGGUUGUUAGAUCCUGAUUUUGCCAGCUGGAUUUAAGUGAAGGUCUGUGUUGGUAUGCUCGGAUAACUUGGUUGUAGGGGUGCUUGUGAGUGAGGGUGCUGUUGUGGAUCCUUUGAUUGCUGCAGUUGCUAUCAGAGAAGUUGCCGAAAUGGGGAACGAAUACCCGUUAUUGUGAACUGUUGGUGUAGGCUGUUACGAGCAACGUGAUAACGAGUUGCGCACCUCUUUCGUUGUGGUCGAGCAUUGGUUGUAAUCUGGCUCUAGACAGAUUGGGAUUGAGAAAGCAUGCCGGAAUAAGACCUAUCAUUUGAUGACUCACCACCAGCUGCCCUUUUAUCAAGUCUAAGCUCUUCGUGCGUAUCAGGGUGAGUCAUUUUCACAAGAGUGGUAUGGUUCAUGCACACUGCAAAUGGUGCCUCGUCCGUUCUAGUUGGUGCCUUGAAAUAUGAUGCAACACCCUUGUCCCUUUUGCUGUUGACAUGUAUUGCUCUACAGGAUGUUUUUGCAGUCUUCAUAUGUUGGUGUAAAUUGGCCCUUGAUUUCCUAUUUAUUAGCAGGACACAUCAACUCUGCAUCAAGCUUUUUGCGGAGUAGUUUUCAGGUCUGCAGUAGGUUUGUGACCAUUGCCAUCCUGCAACUGGCUGCAUCCUUAGGUCCAUAAUCAAUGCACACAGCACAUGACAGUAUGGAUUUAUGAUUUGAUUGGUCCUCAUGCCUUGGCUUGUAGGCUGGCUAAUGUAGCAGGUGGAUCACUGGUUUACGGAGUGGUUUUUGACAGUUUUGCUUGAACUGAUGUGAGUAUGGUUUGAUUGCUGGUGAAUAAUAGAAGUCCUUUGCAUUUCGAUAUCCCGCAGCUUGCAUUACCGUCCAGAUUAAUUCAAUAUGUAUCAGCUGCAUUCUGCAACAAGAUUCUGCAUUCCAUUAAUGAUAAUAAGCAUUUCACUUCUAGCACCACUGCUGUCAAUCUGACGGGUAUUGAGUUCCACGAAAAGAUCGUUCAGCAACAGAACCGGAUGCAAGCUUCUCAGUAAGCCCCUCUUGGUUCUGAUCUUGAUGUAGCGUUAUGGCACACCACUGGUUUUGCAGGCUUGGCCUAUCAUGUUCAAAUCAGAGUUUAGCCAAGGUAGAUACUUUAACUUGAGCUAUACACAUUGUAAUACUACCAUGCCUUUGGCCUUGUAUGCCUUGUAUUUUGCAGGUUUGGGAGGUGCAAUGACCAGCAACGGACACACGAAGUGGGUCGGUCAGAACACACAAACAAAUGGCCAAACUGUACUUUGAAGCAUUAUGGACAAAUAGCAAACUCCAGGAUCAAGAUGGACUUUUAAAAUAGGAUUGGAAUUUAUG